UGAAAGCUUUACAAGAUUAGCUGAGAAAUAGUCAUCAUCGCAAUCAUCAUCAUAAAUCUUGUUGUGUGGAACUCAGAAGUUGUGCAGCUCAGAAGGUUGUUACACUUCUAACCAACACUGGCAAGAUAACUCUCAAAAUUAUUUGAACCACUUCAAACCCUGCUCCCAGUUUUGACUGUGCACUGCAGGAGAACAUCAGAGUGCUAGCUACAAAAUAUCCUGGAGAAGAAUUUCCACUAUACAUGAUCAGAAUUGAACUGGAGACAAAAAUGUCAAAAAGACUUUCAAAGGACCAGAAACCACAAAAGGACCACUCACAUUCUGCUGCAAUUGCAUUUUGGAAAUGAUGUCUGUUUAAAGAUCUUGAUUCUAAGGCUAGGAAUGGACAAUUCUUUGAUGUAUACUGUUUGGAAGAAUACUGACAAAGUGGGCUUCCAUAUAUCUUUUGCACAAAUUUCACUGUAUGUUCUUUAUCAUUAGUACAGGUAACUAGGAUCCAGUUUUUAUAUAAGUUUCCAUCUAUUACCAUAAUAGCUGCUUUAUGCCUGGUAGUUACUUGCUUUGUUUUUCAUUCCCAUUUUAUAACAGCAUGCCUUAAACCCCAUCAAUAUUCAAGUUAGCACUUUAAAAUGAAACUAUAAAUUUCAAUUUGGAGAAAAUAAGCCCUUAUUCGGGCUCAUAAGUUUUAAAUAAAGCAUUACCAUUGGCUACAUUAAGUUUGCAUUUCUAAUGUUAUUUUAUGCAUUUGACAAUAGAUGUUCCACUCU